rnacentral:rRNA from 1 species
UACAGACGGUCCAAACGUUAUUCGGAAUUACUGGGCUUAAAGAGUUCGUAGGCGGUCAGGAAAGUGGGGUGUGAAAGCCCUCGGCUUAACCGAGGAAUUGCGCUCCAAACUCCCUGACUUGAGGAGGCUAGAGGUAAGCGGAACUGAUGGUGGAGCGGUGAAAUGCGUUGAUAUCAUCAGGAACACCGGAGGCGAAGGCGGCUUACUGGGGCCUUUCUGACGCUGAGGAACGAAAGCUAGGGGAGCGAACGGG